AUGAACGCUGGCGGCGUGCCUAAUACAUGCAAGUCGAACGAAACUUCUUUAUCACCGAGUGCUUGCACUCACCGAUAAAGAGUUGAGUGGCGAACGGGUGAGUAACACGUGGGCAACCUGCCCAAAAGAGGGGGAUAACACUUGGAAACAGGUGCUAAUACCGCAUAACCAUAGUUACCGCAUGGUAACUAUGUAAAAGGUGGCUAUGCUACCGCUUUUGGAUGGGCCCGCGGCGCAUUAGCUAGUUGGUGGGGUAAAGGCUUACCAAGGCAAUGAUGCGUAGCCGAACUGAGAGGUUGAUCGGCCACAUUGGGACUGAGACACGGCCCAAACUCCUACGGGAGGCAGCAGUAGGGAAUCUUCCACAAUGGGCGAAAGCCUGAUGGAGCAACGCCGCGUGGGUGAAGAAGGUCUUCGGAUCGUAAAACCCUGUUGUUAGAGAAGAAAGUGCGUGAGAGUAACUGUUCACGUUUCGACGGUAUCUAACCAGAAAGCCACGGCUAACUACGUGCCAGCAGCCGCGGUAA
rnacentral:rRNA from 1 species